GGAGCCUCCUGGUACCCGGGCUGGAACAUUCUGGCAGGGUGGCGGAGACCCGUGUGUUCUCCCCCGUGGGGACUCUGUUCUGUACCUGGGCUCUGCCUCACACAGGUGCCAGGGACCUGGGGGCAUUCCAUGCCUUCAUCGUCUCAGAUCUGCGGGAACUCCGGGGACGAGCUGGCCAGGGCAUCCUACUGCUGCGGAUCCUGAACCCCUGGGGCCGGCACUGCUGGCAGGGACUCUGGAGAGAGGGGUGAGUGCCAGGAGCAGGGCCCUGAGACCCUGUGGUCCCCGGCCUUCUGGCCUGUGCCUUAGUGAGUCCAGCUGUCAGGUCAGUGUUCAUGUCUGCAGGGCCACUUGGUGGCACCUCGUGCACUGCUAUGUUCAGGGCCUCGGGCAGUUCUUGGGAGGUGUGGGACCACCGUGACCCUAGGUCUUGGGGGAACCCGCAGACCCGGGAACAGGAACUUGGUUUGAAGACCCAGCUAAGCCAGGAUCCCCUGGAAGCCUGGAGCUGCAGAUGGUGGUGGACUCCCAGCCGGAGUGCAUGCAGCAGCUCCACCUGAGACCACAGGGCAGGUGUCGUUCUGGGUUGUGGUGUCCGGGAAGCCAGUCCAGAGGCAAGAAGCCCCUCUGGGGAAGGAGAGAGGCUCCCGCAAGUGCUGCCGUGGGGAGGCCCCUCAUCUCAGGAUGCCUCUCGACACGGGAGGGGGCCCAGCAGCAGGACCACGGGGUGCUGGAAGGGGGGACUCUCGGGCCCCCAGCUGAUGCUGC
rnacentral:lncRNA from 1 species